AAAAAUAAAAAAUUUGGCUUCGAAAUAGUCGGCCCAUCCUAAACAAAGGGUUUGGCUUCGCCUGGGCCUUUGCAUUAAGUCAACUAACGUUGGGAAGAAAAAUAUUGGAUUCAAUUUGAAGACUAGAUUAAUCUAUUGAGUAAUAAAAAAUCGUUAAAUUAGUUAAAUAAUUUAAUGGUUAAGAUCAUUUUAACUAUGAAAGUAUUGAGUUAAUUUAGGCACGCUAAUAUCGUAGUAGUCUUUUUUUGCAUAAUCA
rnacentral:lncRNA from 1 species